rnacentral:rRNA from 1 species
UACGUAGGGAGCAAGCGUUGUCCGGAAUCAUUGGGCGUAAAGCGCGCGUAGGCGGCUCUGUAAGUCCGUUGUGAAAGUCAAAGGCUCAACCUUUGAAAGCCGAUGGAUACUGCAGAGCUAGAGUCCGGAAGAGGCGAGUGGAAUUCCUGGUGUAGCGGUGGAAUGCGCAGAUAUCAGGAGGAACACCAAUAGCGAAGGCAGCUCGCUGGGACGGUACUGACGCUAAGGCGCGAAAGCGUGGGGAGCGAACAGG